ACCUGGGAAGAUGCAUUUCCUCAGCUCAUGCCAGACUCCAGUGGUGCAGAAUGAUUGGAAAUCUUUUCUCCUCCUGUGAACAAGUGAACCAUCCAUCUUAAACAGCAAAGACUAUCACCACUUCCUUCCAGCAAACUGAAACAGAUAGGUCUCGAAGGCUCAAGUCUCUUUAAUUUUGAAGAUUACUUUUUAUAAGGAUAUGUUCUACUUACAUACAAUUUUUCAUAGAAAACUACAAAAUCCUCUCUCAAGCCUUUCAUACUGAAUUUACUUUAAAUGCAAAAAAUACAGGGGGUCUUCAAUCUGGCCUGUCGGGUCAACAGCAGGAGACCAAUGCUAUGAUGGAAACAUUUGAGCAAUGAUAAAUAUCUCCAGCCACUGCAAGACUGAAAAUAAAUAGUCACCCCUGGUGAACAAAAUUAUUUGGAGUGCGGUCCUCCAUGAUUAGUAGAGAUCAUCUCCUAUUGUGCUAUAAAUCUUUCAAAAUGGAUUGCCACCACUUAUUCCUGUUCAGAACCCAUUAUCACUGUCACAUUAUAUGAUGCUUAUAAAAGGGUAUAUAUACACUAAAGACUAUCAAACAGCAACCUGCAAAUACAGACCAAAUGUCAGAAUGGAAAUGAUUAAUUAUUAUGCAAGAGUAAUACAGUGGGUUUGAAAAUGAGCCAAGGAUAAUCAUGUACUUUUCAAAAAGCAAGGUUAAACAUUAAAAGAAACCCUGAAAUAGAAUCUUUGACACACACAAAAUCAUUAGCAACUGUAUCUAGAUACUAUAUUGGUAAAUGGAGGGAAAAGAAAGCACUACUGCUUCUAAAGUCAUUGCAGCUUCCCUGCAAAUCCUCAUGGAAGAACUCAGCAGUUUCAACAAGACUUGAGCCAAUUAAUUCGAUUUUAGACCAUGCUCUCAAAGAAAUUAAAGUUU